GGCAGUGCAGAAACUUUCCGCCACCAUAUUUUUACAUUCUUCUUAUUAUUAUUAUUAUUCGUGUUUGCCUCCGCGAAUCGAUCACAUGAGAGGGAGGAGUAAUAGGUGGAGCUAACCUGAAAGAACCGGAAGGAGAAAAGUAAAUAAAAGAGACGGCAUUGCAUCCGGAAGUACUGCGUCAUUGUUUUUGUUUACCUGAGUGAGAGUGUGGGCCUGCCGUGAGAGGACGGAUGUUGUUCCAAUGCUGGCUUUUGAGUUUAUUGACGAGUGCAACACGGAGCUUUGGCUUUGGAUCGUGUGAGCAUUUAUCCCAGUCGAUAUUUGAGAUAAGCUACGGACAACUGGAUUGCUUUCCCGUCUGUUAUGAGGACAGAGAGCUGCUACACCUCACUCCGAGGACCUCCACUUCCGUAAACUUUGAUGACGCAGUCCAUACCCCGCCUGUAUUUUUUCAACAUUGACAUUUAAACUUCAUAUUUUUACAUUUGACUUACCUGAAAUAAAUCACCAGCACCAAACUGCA